ACAUGCCUACAACAUAGAAUUAAUGCACCAGAUCUCAUUAGAAAUUCGUAGUUAAGCACGCUCAGGCUAGAGUUGUACUCGGAUGGGUGACUACCUAGGAAGUCCUAGUGUUUUACAUGCC
rnacentral:rRNA from 1 species